UGUCAGCCGCCGCGGUAAUACGGAGGAUCCAAGCGUUAUCCGGAUUCAUUGGGUUUAAAGGGUGCGCAGGCGGAAUGAUAAGUCAGUGGUGAAAUCUCUCGGCUCAACUGAGAAACUGCCAUUGAUACUGUCGUUCUUGAGUACACUUGGAGUGGGCGGAAUGUGUCAUGUAGCGGUGAAAUGCUUAGAUAUGACACAGAACACCGAUCGCGAAGGCAGCUCACUAAGUUGUAACUGACGCUCAGGCACGAAAGCGUGGGGAUCAAACAGGAUUAGAUACCCUGGUAGUCCACGCCGUAAACGAUGAUCACUCGAUGUUGGCGAUAUACUGUCAGCGUCUAAGCGAAAGCAUUAAGUGAUCCACCUGGGGAGUACGAUCGCAAGAUUGAAACUCAAAGGAAUUGACGG
rnacentral:rRNA from 1 species